GUACCUACGGGGGGCAGCAGUGGGGAAUAUUGCACAAUGGGGGGAACCCUGAUGCAGCAAUGCCGCGUGGGUGAAGAAGCACUCCGGUGCGUAAAGCCCUGUCAGCAGGGAAGAAAAUGACAGUACCUGGACAAGAAGCCCCGGCUAACUACGUGCCAGCAGCCGCGGUAAUACGUAGGGGGCAAGCGUUAUCCGGAUUUACUGGGUGUAAAGGGAGCGUAGGUGGCAGGGCAAGUCAGAUGUGAAAACCCGGGGCUCAACUCCGGGAGUGCAUUUGAAACUGUCCAGCUAGAGUGCAGGAGAGG
rnacentral:rRNA from 1 species